rnacentral:tRNA from 1 species
ACGGUCAUUAGCUCAGUUGGUAGAGCGCCAGUUUGUGGCACUGGUUGUCGCGAGUUCGAACCUCGUUUCCCGCUCCA